GCUACAACAACGACUUGUCAUCUGAACAUCUUAAGCGGGAUAUGAAGUGGAAUUGGCGCGUUCUUUAAACACCUGUGGCGACGACUUAUCGCUCUAACAAAUAACAAAAAUUAAAAAUUACAUAUUUUUUUAAAUAAUUCCACGGAAAUAAAAUUGGGGAUAACUAUAGAUGCGACUUGUCGUCCCCAUAGCUUUCUAUGCCCGGAAUUACGAGAGCAAGUCCGUUCAUUUUAUUCACGCACGCUUAUUCAACAGUCUCACUCUUUCUCGAUCGAUCGACAAUUCUCACGUUGCGACUUCCUCACCUCCUAAUCCCCGUAAAUCUUCUUCAUCUCUCUGGGAUCCUCAUGCUGCUAGCUGCCGAAGACCACCGACGAUUAGCUUCAACUUCGAUGAUUCUAAUUACCGACUUCAUUUUCACCUCUGGUUACGAAUUCUAAUGAAUACACACCCCACUCCGGUGACCUAGCACAAAUACCAACAACAUAACUUUUUGCAGCAAUGACCUUAACAUGUCCAUAAUGUCUGGGCUGCAGCAGAAGGGCUUCAUGUUUUUGAUGAUUUCAGAGAGGCUUGCACAUGGUUAGGACUUAGGAGUUAGGAGUUAAGUACCAAACAACAGGAAUGUCAUUUUUAAGCUACAUUUGGAAUGUAAUUUUCAGGUGGCAUCUUGGGAAAUUUUCAACUCCUUGGAUGUUAAAUAUGUCCUCAAUAUGAAAUAUAUUUGCAAUAAUGUAGUAUUUUGAGAUUAUAUCAUAUCGUAAUGUUUUGCAGUUAAA